UGGACAGAACUGUGCUUGGGUGGAAGC
rnacentral:piRNA from 1 species